AAAGUAGUGUAAAUUGACGUGGCAGACAACCGAUGGCAACAUAGGAGAAUGUUUUCGGCCCUAAAAGUUAGCAAAGCAAAGCAAAGUGACUUAAUAAAGCCAGAGAACGAAAAGGUUGCUGAGCAAGGCUGUUGAACGUGCGAUAAUGAAGAAAUUUAUGGUAACGCUUCUCUUAGCAAGUAUUUGGCUUACAGAUGCUGGAGAAAACCAAGAUCGUCUGUCGUGUUUUGAUUGCCGUAGUUUCAACUCAUGGGAGGAAUGCGGUUCAAGAGAGGGUGAACAAAGAUGCCAGAAUGGACAAAAUCGUUGCGGAUUACUUUCAUUGGAAUCGUCGGUUCAUCAAAUAUACAUGAAAGGAUGCUUUAAAGACUCUGAUUGUAUAAAUUACCAGCAUCCAAACUGGUGUUCGAAAAAUGCGGCUGCUGACCCACACUGCUUUAGUAAAAUCAUUUGUUGUGAGCAUGAUUUCUGUAAUAAGGCAAAGAUUGAGGGAAAUCAAAUGUCUUCUAGACAAAAAAACUUUUAUUAGCAGUAAUACUUCAUUUCGAUGUAAACUGUAUUUGGCAUUAAAAUUUUCGAUUUUUGUUUGUUGAGACAUCUAUAUGUUGUUGAGGUAACCUUGUGUCUAACUUUUCCAAUCAUGUAAGGUCUUCAGAUCUUAGACCCCAUUGAAUUGGUAACCGUUUAAAAAAAAUUGUAAAGCAUUUUUAAAAUGUUAUUUAUCAUGUGUUCAAAGCUUUGUAAACAUUAGAGAGACACAAUCACGAAAUACAAUUUCGCUUGAUUCCAUUCGAAA